rnacentral:rRNA from 1 species
GUUGUAUGGUUAAGUGACUAAGCGUACACGGUGGAUGCCUGGGCAGUCAGAGGCGAUGAAGGACGUACUAACUUGCGAUAAGCGCAGAUAAGGCAGUAAGAGCCGUUUGAGUCUGCGAUUUCCGAAUGGGGAAACCCAACUGCAUAAGCAGUUACUGUUAACUGAAUACAUAGGUUAACAGAGCAAACCGGGGGAACUGAAACAUCUAAGUACCCCGAGGAGAAGAAAUCAACCGAGAU